AGCUUUACACAGUGGCAGUAUUAUAGCCAAUGAGGUUUAUCCGAGGCAUGAUUAUUGCUAAUUGAAAACUCUUCCCAGUACCCUGCCGUGAUGACUUGAAAUACAGUCAGCAUUGGCAAUUUUUGACAGUCUCUACAGAGA
rnacentral:snRNA from 1 species